GGAGGGUGUGACUAGUGACUGAGGGAGGGAUGGGGUGACUAGUGAGAGUGAGGGAGGUGGUGAUUAGUGACAGAGGGAGGAAUGGGGUGACUAUCACUGUGUCACCCCCUUCCUCACUCUGUCACUAGUCACCCACUCCCUCCCUCACUCGGUCACUAGUCACCCCUCUCUCACUCUGUCACCAGUCAUUCCCUCACUCUGUCACCAGUCAUCCCUUCCUUCCCUCACUCUGCCACUAGUCAUCCCUUCCCUCAC